rnacentral:rRNA from 1 species
UACAGAGACCUCAAGCGUUGUCCGGAUUUACUGGGUUUAAAGGGUGCGUAGGUGGAUUUGUAAGUCAGUGGUGAAAUCUCCGGGCUUAACCCGGAAACUGCCAUUGAUACUAUAAGUCUUGAAUUAUCUGGAGGUAAGCGGAAUAUGUCAUGUAGCGGUGAAAUGCUUAGAUAUGACAUAGAACACCAAUUGCGAAGGCAGCUUACUACGGAUAUAUUGACACUGAGGCACGAAAGCGUGGGGAUCAAACAGG